rnacentral:rRNA from 1 species
UACGUAGGUGGCGAGCGUUAUUCGGAAUCACUGGGCAUAAAGCGCGUGUAGGCGGCCGCGCAAGUCGGGUGUGAAAUCCCACGGCUCAACCGUGGAACUGCGCCCGAUACUGCAUGGCUCGAGGCUGGUAGGGGAGAGUGGAAUUCCUGGUGGAGCGGUGAAAUGCGUUGAUAUCAGGAGGAACGCCGGCGGCGAAAGCGGCUCUCUGGUCCAGUUCUGACGCUGAGACGCGAAAGCCAGGGGAGCAAACGGGAUUAGAAACCCUGUAGU